CGUUCUCACACUGAAAGAAGGCGGAACCUUCUACCGCUUUCAGACUCCGUACUUCUGGCCGUCAAACUGCUGGGAACCAGAAAACACUGACUAUGCGGUUUAUCUCUGUAAACGAACCAUGCAGAAUAAAGCUCGUCUGGAGUUGGCCGAUUAUGAAGCUGAGAGUUUGGCGAGACUACAGAGAGCUUUUGCACGGAAAUGGGAGUUUAUAUUUAUGCAAGCAGAAGCACAAGCGAAAGUGGACAAAAAGCGGGACAAGAUUGGAGAG